rnacentral:tRNA from 1 species
AGAAACUUAGGAUAAUUUAGACCAGAGGCCUUCAAAGCCCCAAGUAGAAGUUAAAAUCUUCUAGUUUCUG